AAGCACAUAAUGAAUUCAUGACC
rnacentral:piRNA from 1 species